rnacentral:rRNA from 1 species
AGGUCCUACGGGAGGCAGCAGUGAGGAAUAUUGGUCAAUGGUCGGGAGACUGAACCAGCCAAGCCGCGUGAGGGAGGAAGGUACAGAGUAUCGUAAACCUCUUUUGUCAGGGAACAAAGGCGGGGACGUGUCCCCGGAUGAGUGUACCUGAAGAAAAAGCAUCGGCUAACUCCGUGCCAGCAGCCGCGGUAAUACGGAGGAUGCGAGCGUUAUCUGGAUUUAUUGGGUUUAAAGGGUGCGCAGGCGGUCUGUUAAGUCAGCGGUAAAAGCCCGGGGCCCAACCCCGGCGAGCCGUUGAAACUGGG